CCCCCUCAAGAUGAGAUUUCCCAACUUCGGUUAUAAGAUCCCUCAAAGAUGAUGAGGUUAAUAGGUUCGAGGUGGAAGCAUAGCGAUAUGUGGAGCUGACGAAUACUAAUCGAUCGAAGACUUAAUCAAAUU
rnacentral:rRNA from 1 species